AACGAACGCUGGCGGCAGGCUUAACACAUGCAAGUCGAGCGCCCCGCAAGGGGAGCGGCAGACGGGUGAGUAACGCGUGGUAAUCUACCCAUCUCUACGGAAUAACGCAUGGAAACGUGUGCUAAUACCGUAUACGUCCCUCGGGAGAAAGAUUUAUCGGAGAUGGAUGAGCCCGCGUUGGAUUAGCUAGUUGGUGGGGUAAAGGCCUACCAAGGCGACGAUCCAUAGCUGGUCUGAGAGGAUGAUCAGCCACACUGGGACUGAGACACGGCCCAGACUCCUACGGGAGGCAGCAGUGGGGAAUAUUGGACAAUGGGCGCAAGCCUGAUCCAGCCAUGCCGCGUGAGUGAUGAAGGCCCUAGGGUUGUAAAGCUCUUUCACCGGUGAAGAUAAUGACGGUAACCGGAGAAGAAGCCCCGGCUAACUUCGUGCCAGCCGCCGCGGUAAAAC
rnacentral:rRNA from 1 species